GGAUGGACAACACUUCGGUUGGCAGUUCCUGUUGAUUGUCACUGGGUGCGGUUCAUCCUG
rnacentral:pre_miRNA from 1 species